AUGUGCUUCUCUGGGAUCCUAUGUUUGAAAAAAACAUACCCUACAAAGCUACUGCCCCUUCCUGCUGGACACCAUAAUGAGGACAUAAGCCAGUGCGAAAUUGACCAGAAACCUGAAUUUACGCUGACCCUGAAAAUUCCAGCCUCCCUCAGCCAAACCUCAGCCAACAUUCCGGCCUAUUCACCUCUGCUGACACAGAUGGACUUCACACGCCUGCAUCCCUUGGCCUGGAAGCUUCUCCCUCCUCAGGAGCAGGUUUGGCUUAUGAGCAGUAAAGCCGGUGGUGCCAAGGCUCAGCGCCCCCAGAGACAUAAUCCAAUCAUUGAUGGAGUGGAAGUGGUGGAAAUCUCCCCAGUUUCCUGCCCUUCAGAAUGGGCCAACUGUGAGACGUGUCCUUUACCGUCUCCCAGAAUCCUCUAGCAAGGUUAGCCUCAGUUGGCUAAAGCAGUAACUUGCUCCAUAGAAAAGGAAAAUACAUGAAAAUGCUUGCUGAUGUAUUUUCCUUUUUUAUUCAAUUUUCCUACUCCCUUCCUGGUGCUUUCUGGAAUCACCUCCCAAUAAACCAUUAUCACUCGUAUCUUUUCAUUUAAAGGUCUGCUUCCUGGUGAGCCCAGCCAAUGACACCUCCUGAACCACAAUCUCUGGUGCAGGGGAUGGGAUUGUCCACAGACUGGCAUUUGGGAACCAAUGACGUGGUUAGUGAAUAGAAUAUGUCACAGGAUCUGUAUCGACAUCCAAACCUCAGCAGUGCUGUAUGCUGUUAGCUCGGUCUGAAGUAAAUUGCAUAAUUCCUCGAGCUGCACUCAAGUGAGGACAGUAACUCCUCUGAAAGGUUGUGGUGAGCGUUGUAGAAGAUAUGGAGAGUCCUAGCACACAGCAGGCAAGCCACAAAUGCCAAUCAUUGUUGUGAAUCCCCAUCACGCUACACACAACUCUAUCUGUUUAUUUUAUUUUAUUUUUUAGAGACAAGAUUUCACUGUCACCCAGGCUGGAGUGCAGUGCCAUGACCACAGUUCACUGAGGCCUAAACCCCGGGGCUUGAAUCAUCCUCCCACCUCGGCCUCCAGAGUAGUUGGGACUACAGGUCCAAGACACCAUGUGUCGUUACAUUUACAAAAUGUUUUUAGAGACAGGGUCUCACUAUAUCGCCCCGGCUGGUCUCAAAUUCCUGGCCUUAAGCUAUGCCCUGCCCCAGCCUCCUGAAUACCUGGGAUUCACAACUCUUUAUUUAGUGAAAUGUGAGACUCACAGGUGACCACAGAGGCCAUUAGCAGAUCCAAAACUAUGACGGAGAGGAUGACCUGCUUUGCACAAUAGACUCAAUUUUCUGCCACAGUGAAACUUAUUACAAACAUAAAAUGGUAUAUUAAGUCAAAUAACGAGCCAUUUGGUUCAUUCACGCCUGUAUUCUGUCUCCAAAAAAGGCAUGAAGAAAUGUCCAAGGAGGAAACCUGACACUGCUUCUUAGAGGCAUCUUUCUCUGCCUCCCCAACUCCUGUGUGUCACAUGAAACAAGCUUCCCCAUCUCAUGGAUGAGGGGGAAUCCUCAAUUUCUUCAUUCUUCUCUCAUACUCUAUUCAAAGCACCUGCUUCCCCUGAGCACCUUCUCUUCUGAAGGUUGUUCUCAUUUUAUUCCUGCAGCUCCUCUCUUUUGCAAAUGUUACCCUUCUUCUUGGUAGCCUGAGGGCUGUGGAAAAACCACUGUUCAUCAGCGUGUGUAUCGACCUCCUCCCUCAGAGCUGCUCAUGCUCCCUCCUCAUCCCGAGCUGUGUCUAGCCCUAGGUACACUCCUUAAAAGAAGGCUUGAUAUUCCCAGUCCUUCUCCAUUGAAGUUUUCCCCUAAAAGAAACCCCCUUCAGGAUCUGAACACCUAAGCUCUCGCUCUUAAAAAGCAAGUUCCAUUCAGGUUCCACAAGCAUCCUAAAAUAGCAUAAUAUGGCAAAAUGCAAGGUCAUAUUUAUAUUUCCCAUGCCUCUUUAACCACAGAUGGACUUUAUUUUAAGAUAUUAUUUCAAAUAUGCUCAAUUUCUCUCUUUCCCUCAACCUAUGGAAUCAUCAUUUUCUCCUUUCCUUUAUUUGGUUGUUUAUUUACAAAUGUCACAAGUCUUCAUCUUUGCUCUCCUCCCUAUUAUCAAACCACUCCCUUCUCUGCACAAAUAAAAAGAAGCAAACAAGCGUUCAACUGGCUAAAAAGCAAGCCCUGAGUCAGCCUGUUUUCCCCGCAUUACUGGGCUCCGUCCUAAGCUGGAUGGAGGCCUGACGGAAUCUACAAGCUGAAAACUUCUGUCCCUCUUCCUUGUCUCUCGUCUUCCUUCCCCAAGCUUCUUCCUGGGAAAGAACGGUCUUCCCCGACCGACUGAGAGGGGCAUUCCAACAGACUUUUGGGUUCCUGGGAAUCCUCUCUUCUCUAGCUUAGGCCUGGGGGCCUGACUUUGUUUUCAAAGUUUGGAUUUUUAUACAACUUGGAGCCAAAAAACAAAAUCCACUGAGGCUGUACCUGCGCGGAAGUACUCACUUUUCACUUUGCCUUGUUUUCAGCAGCUGGAGGACAAGCAAGUUGUCUUUUAGGCCUUUAAUCUAAAGUUAUGAAUUACAAGGUUUUAGGAAUGUCAUCUUCCAAACACAGCUUGUGUUGAGUUUUAAAUGAGAUUUAUGCUAAACUGUGUUUGGGUGCCAGACAUGGCAUAUUGAUUUGCAAACCCCAAUCUCUGCAUACGGACAGUGGCUGGAAGAGAAACUCCAGCUUCGAGGCAGUUCCGUAAAUUGUAAGCUUAUUUUCCGAGGGUAGAGACUCAUUUGUCCACCUCGAGGACAAUGACUAACAUGAACCCUGUCCCAGGGGAGCUCAAAUCCUGAAGUAAGAUGGCCGAGAAAAUGAGAAGCGGACUUGGCAAUAGCAGCAAAAUGUCACAGUGCCAUUCGCACCAGCGCCAACGGUAUUUGCUUUUCUGUCCUCCAUUCCCCCUGUCAUCCCAGGUCUUUCUGUGCUUCAGAAAUUCAUCUGGGCAGCUUCAGAGCUCGUCUCUGCUCCUGCUCCCACUGCCCUGUUUUGCUCUCUCUGAGACAGCUUUGCCACUUGCGAAUUAAAAAUUUGCUCCCAGAUUCUCUUAUCUGAAGUUUACUGGUUAUUGUAGUUGGAGACUGCACACGAGGUCCUUAGUCUAAAUUCCUUAGUCUAUCUGAGAUUCCUAGUCUGUCAUAAAUUUCUU
ensembl:lncRNA